UACGUAGGGUGCGAGCGUUGUCCGGAAUUAUUGGGCGUAAAGAGCUUGUAGGCGGUUUGUCGCGUCUGCUGUGAAAAUCCGGGGCUCAACCCCGGGCCUGCAGCCGAUACGGGCAGACUAGAAUUCGGUAGGGGAGACUGGAAUUCCUGGUGUAGCGGUGAAAUGCGCAGAUAUCAGGAGGAACACCGGUGGCGAAGGCGGGUCUCUGGGCCGAUAUUGACGCUGAGGAGCGAAAGCGUGGGGAGCGAACAGG
rnacentral:rRNA from 1 species